rnacentral:tRNA from 1 species
GCGGGUGUAGCUCAGUGGCUAGAGCGUCACGUUGCCAACGUGAAUGUCGUCGGUUCGAAUCCGAUCACCCGCU